AUGAAUGCCCUGAUUUGGAACUGCCGGGGAGGGGGGAAUUCCCGGACAGUUCGAGAUUUGGCGACGAUGGUGCAGUCGCAUUCCCCCAAAUUUGUGUUUUUGUGUGAAACUCGAUAGAAAGCUAGUAAGAUGAGGAGAUAUAGGGGUCGUCUCGGCCUUAAGGGUUUUGAAGGUGUGGAUAGCUCGGGCAUGAGUGGUGGUUUGGCGUUAUACUGGCAUGAAUCA
rnacentral:rRNA from 1 species